rnacentral:SRP_RNA from 2 species
GCUGGGUGUGGUGGGGCAUGCCUAUAGUUCCAGCUACUUAGGAGGCUGAGGUGGGAGGAUCACUUGAGCUGGGGAGUUCUAGGCUAUAAUGUGCUAUGCUAGUGAGGUGCUUGCAUCAAAGUUCAGCAUCCAUAUGGUGACCUCCUGGGAGUGGGGGACCACAUGGUUGCCUAAGGAGGGAAUAAACUGGCCCAGGUUAGAAAUAGAACCAGUCAAAACUCCUGUGUUGAUCAGUAGUGGGAACAGACCUGUCAAUAGCCACUGCACACCAGCCUGGACAAUACAACAAGACCCUCAUCUCU